rnacentral:rRNA from 1 species
CGGAGGGUGCAAGCGUUGUCCGGAUUUAUUGGGUUUAAAGGGUGCGUAGGCGGCCCGUUAAGUCAGUGGUGAAAGCCUCCAGCUCAACUGGAGAACUGCCAUUGAUACUGACGGGCUUGAAUACAGACGAGGUUGGCGGAAUUGAUUGCGUAGCGGUGAAAUGCAUAGAUACAAUCAAGAACUCCGAUUGCGUAGGCAGCUAACUAGGCUGUAACUGACGCUGAGGCACGAAAGCGUGGGGGAGCGAACAGGAUUAGAUACCCUGGUAGUCCACGCCGUAAACGAUGACUUACUCGAUGUUGGCGAUAAACUGUCAGCGUCUUAGCGAAAGCGUUAAGUAAUCCACCUGGGGAUACGCCCGCAAGGGUG